UACGUAGGGACCAAGCGUUGUCCGGAAUCAUUGGGCGUAAAGCGCGCGUAGGUGGCUUCGUAAGUCCGUUGUGAAAGUCAAAGGCUCAACCUUUGAAAGCCGAUGGAUACUGCGGAGCUAGAGUACGGAAGAGGCGAGUGGAAUUCCUGGUGUAGCGGUGGAAUGCGCAGAUAUCAGGAAGAACACCCGUGGCGAAGGCGGCUCUCUGGGACGGUACUGACGCUGAGACGCGAAAGCGUGGGGAGCGAACAGG
rnacentral:rRNA from 1 species